UCACUUCAUUUUACUGCGGAUUGGUUAACAAACAAGGCACAAUUCCGUGCAGGAUUUUAAGAAAGAUUGAAACUAAAAGAUGAUGCUGUGUCGACUAUAUUGGUUCUGACAGUAAUGUCGCACCACACAAAUAUGAGUUACUGUUUUUAUGAUGUGGCCACUAUUGCUUUAUCUGUUAUUACAGAUAAUUUGAUAUGUACUGAGUAUGCUUUUUUUUUUUUUUUUUUAACCUAAAUCAAGGCAACCUCCAUCUAUGAAGGAUGUAGGCUGUCAAACAAACACAACUGUUAGCCAAUCAUAGCAGUGGGCGUUUACUUCAGAGUACAAUCCGCCACACCUUUUCAAACAGAGCGUUCCGACAAGGGGGGUCAAAACAGGACAGAAAAUAGCCUGUUACUUCUAAAUUAUGAUGUUUUUUGAUGUAAAAGACUUGAUAACAUUCUAAGUGGACCUCAGAGAACAGUACAAAAUAAAAAACAAAGGCAGUUCAUGACCGCUUUAAUGUAUUCUUGCUAAAUAAAAGUAUUCCUUUCUUUUAAAAAAUAAAAUAACCCCAAACUAUUGAAAGUUAGAGUGGAAACAGACACAACAGAACAUGAGGGGUUAUUUACAAUCUUCCAUAAUCCCUAAAUGUUUAGUAUAUGUGUCUUCUCUUAGGCUUCUACAUUGAGACACUUUUAGGUGGUGGAGUGGAGCCCCUCUGUCCAUCAAUGUUCACUACACCAUGAUGAUUAGAUGUUUAUUUUUGACUUCUAAAAUGGUCUUUAUGAUACGUUUGUUAUGGCAAAAAGUUUUGUGGGGCAGUCGUGGCCUAGUGGUUAGAGAGUCUGACUUGUAUGAUAUGAUAAAUUUAUGAUAAAUUGA